AAAUUAACAUCCAAAUUUUGCUAUGUUAAAUAGACGAUUGUUCAAGACAAGAUCUAAAAUCUCAAGAGUAAAUAUGCAAUCUGGGUUUGGACUGAUUAUGGUUCUGCAUAAAAUCUUCUCAAUAUGACUAUUUUGCCCACUUUCAAGAAACCCAAAUUGCCAAUCAUGUCAUUUCCUAUAGAUAUCUCACUAAUAUAUUGGACUGGAGCUUUAAGAUGAAUGGGCA
rnacentral:misc_RNA from 1 species